rnacentral:rRNA from 1 species
AUUGAACGCUGGCGGCAGGCUUAACACAUGCAAGUCGAACGGAGUGGCGCACGGGUGAGUAAUGUAUAGCUAAUCUGCCCUACACUAGAGGACAACAGUUGGAAACGGCUGCUAAUACUCUAUAGUGUAGGAUGAGGCUAUAUUGUAUCAGCUAGUUGGUGAGGUAAUGGCUCCCCAAGGCUAUGACGCAUAACUGGUCUGAGAGGAUGAUCAGUAAAACUGGAACUGAGACACGGUGCAGACUCCGACGGGAGGGAGCAGUAGGGAAUAUUGAUCAAUGGGGGAAACCCUGAAGCAGAAACGCCGCGGGGAGGAUGACACUUUUCGGAGCGUAAAAUCCUUUUGUUAGGGAAGCGGUACCUAACGAAUAAGCACCGGCUAACUCCGUGCCAGCAGCCGCGGUAAUUC